rnacentral:rRNA from 1 species
AUACGAAGGGGGCUAGCGUUGUUCGGAAUUACUGGGCGUAAAGCGCGCGUAGGCGGAUUGGUCAGUUAGGGGUGAAAUCCCAGGGCUUAACCCUGGAACUGCCUCUAAUACUGCCAGUCUUGAGUUCGGGAGAGGUGAGUGGAAUUCCUAGUGUAGAGGUGAAAUUCGUGGAUAUUAGGAAGAACACCAGUGGCGAAGGCGGCUCACUGGCCCGAUACUGACGCUGAGGCGCGAAAGCGUGGGGAGCAAACAGGAUUAGAUACCCCAGUAGUCC